GAGCGCCGGCUGCCCUGACGUCAGCAUGGCCGCGGCCCCUGACUACCCAGCUCCCUUCUAUCCCUCGAGCGGCAGGAAUCCGUCCCCACGCCCUUUUCCUUUAAAGGGCAACGGGCCGAAGGUGGGGCGGGCGGCGCGGCUCCCGCGAUCCAUUCAGGUCAAAAGGGAGAGUGAUCAAACAGGAGAGCCGAGGGGACCUAUAUUCAGAGACUUAACCGGACACCUGGACAGACCAUUACAACUUGGGACUUUUCAGGAGAAUGAGGGAAAUGUAGUUAUUGCACCUGAGCCUCACUCCAGCUCUGAGGUCCUCUUCACUUCUCUUUGGAAGAAAAUUGGAUAUCUUUUCCUAGUUGAAAGAGUAGAGAUCUGAUUUCUCCAAGGAUCAUCGCUUUUUGACACGGGAUUAUUAGAAGCAUUCAUUCAUCUAUCAAGGAGUUUUGGGAUACUUGCCAUAAGCCAAGCCCUCUGAUAGGUGCUGGAAACAUCAAGGUAAAUAAAAGAGUUCUUCUCCUUGGAGAACAUAUUGGUCUAAUAACUACUUCUGGGGCUCCCUG
rnacentral:lncRNA from 1 species